CCCUUAGAUGUUCUGGGCCGCACGCGUGCUACACUGAGUAAUUCAAUGGGUAAGGGAACGCUAGAGCAUUACCUAAUCUUGAAAUUUGCUCGUGAUGGGGAUCGACGGUUGCAAUUUUCCGUCGUGAACGAGGAAUACCUUGUAGGCGCAUGUCAUCAUCAUGCGCCGAAUACGUCCCUGCCCUUUGUACACACCGCCCGUCGCUCCUACCGAUUGGGUGUGCUGGUGAAAUGUUCGGAUCGGCCGUUUGUCGCGGUUUCCGCGGCUCGUGGCUGAGAAGUUCAUUAAACCCUCCCACCUAGAGGAAGGAGAAGUCGUAACA
rnacentral:rRNA from 1 species